ensembl:rRNA 5S_rRNA 5S ribosomal RNA
CCCAAAUGCCAUAUCACCCUGCAACUCACAACUGGCAACCCACUGAAGCUAAGCAGGUGUGAGCCUGGUCAGUACCUGGAUGGGAGACCUCCUGGGGAAAACUAAGGUUGCUGCUGGAA